GAUGAACGCUGGCGGCGUGCUUAACACAUGCAAGUCGAACGGAAAGGCCCAAGCUUGCUUGGGUACUCGAGUGGCGAACGGGUGAGUAACACGUGGGUGAUCUGCCCUGCACUUCGGGAUAAGCCUGGGAAACUGGGUCUAAUACCGGAUAGGACCACUUCUUGGAUGUUGUGGUGGAAAGUUUUUUCGGUGUGGGAUGAGCUCGCGGCCUAUCUGCUUGUUGGUGUGGUCAUGGCCGACCAAGGCGUCGUGGGGUACCCGGCCUGUGUUGGUGUACGGAGACAUUGGGUCUUAGAUACUGCCCAGGCUCGUACGGGAGGCAGCAAGUGGGAAGAUUGCACAAUGGGCGCAAGUCUGAUGUAGCGACGCCGGGGGGGGGAUGACGGCCUUCGGGUUGUAAACUCCUUGCGCUAGGGACGAAGCGUUUUGUGACGGUACCUUGAGAAGAAGCACCGGCUAACUACGUG
rnacentral:rRNA from 1 species